rnacentral:rRNA from 1 species
UUUCCCUCAGGAUAGCUGGCACUCGCUUGAGCGAGUCUCAUCUGGUAAAGCGAAUGAUUAGAGGCCUUGGGGCCGAAACGACCUCAACCUAUUCUCAAACUUUAAAUGGGUGAGAUCUCUGGCUUGCUUGAACAUUGAAGCCACGAGAUUAUUGCAAUGGAUCAGAGUGCCAAGUGGGCCAAUUUUGGUAAGCAGAACUGGCGCUGUGGGA